rnacentral:hammerhead_ribozyme from 1 species
ACACUUCUGAGGAGUCCCACAAUAGGACGAAACAUCCGUCCAGUGC